UCUGUCUUCAGUUGUGCUCUCUCAUUCUCUCUCUCUCUCUCUCUCUCUCUCUCUCUCUCUCUCUCUCUCUCUCUCUCUCUCCAACACUUAGAUCCAUCUCCCUUUUCCCUGUCCUCCUGCUACCCUAAUAUUUUAAUGUGAUUGGACAGGAACAAUCCUGCCACAACCCCUAGUCAACCAUCUCACUCCAAAAUUUACAUCUUUCUUUCUGUCUUUUUUUUUUUUUUCACCUCAGAAAGUUUCAUCUUUGGAAUGUUCUAAAGAUUUCAGCUGACACAUAAACUCAUACGUUUCUGGGUGUCACAUGACAUUUUGUCUUUGAAAACACAUAGAAUGUUCAUAUCAAAUAUAAGCAUUCAUACCUUCUCAAAUACUCAUCAGUUCUUUGCUGUGAGAAUACCCAAUCUGUUUCUUCUCUUUGCACACUGUCAACAGGCACCCUAUUGUGCCACCACUUGAAACACUUUUAUUAGUAAUUCGAGAACUUCUUACAAUGUGUUUUGUUCACACUCACACCUCUCCACAAGUCUUCUCAAAUCCAUAUCCUUGUCCUUACAAACCCAAAUUUGUGUCCUAUUUUUUUAAGCUCCUGAAGUUCAAUAAUUUGAACGUGUGGCCAUCCAGUGAAGCGUGUUCCAGAGUCACACCUUUAAUGAAAACUGACUUCACUUGUGCCAGCACCUAUCAAGUGCCAGUAGUUAGAGAUGGAAUGUUGCAUCCACCUCCCCUCCAUAUGCUGGCAUUUGGUCUAACUCGGGCUUGCCAGGUUCUCUGAUUUGUGUAUGUAUUCAGCAGUUGAGUAUUAGAAACAAUAAGCCAGUAAGUAAAGAUCUCAGUGCCAGGAAUCAUUAUUAUUCUUCUGGAGUUGCUGCUCAGUGUAGUAUUCCACAGACUCCCAAACACUGACAAGGGCCUUGGCUGCCCACUACAUACUAACAGUUAGACAUGUACAGCAUUUUUAAAAGAUUACUGUGAAGUAAAAAGAACCACUAAUCAACUUGUGUGGAUAACCAUGCCUAUUAUGAAGCCCAGGAAGUGGUGCAGGUCAGUGGCUGUGUGUCCAACAGCCAUUGGCAAAGCAGCAGACAGUUAAUUUUUUUUUAACAAUUGAGAUAGGGAGCGAGAUGGAUUGGUAGAAAGGACAUUUUCCUAUCAUAGCAAAUUUUCUGUGUUAGGAUUGCAUUAAGAAGUCAUCCUUAGCCCAUCAGACUUGCUCAAAUGCAUUAAAUGUGGCUGGAGGGCUGGGAGAGAGCCCUGGGGGAGUGUACAGUGUCUAUUAAUCAGCUUUACAUCAAGCUCAGGCAACGGUGGCAUUUAUAGCUUGCCUCCCUUGGGUCUUUCCUCUCAUCUGUGCAGCUUCACAUUUUAUUCUGAAAUUGAAGAUGACCUGAAAACAUUUGCCAGGAGCACAUUGGUCCUCAAGGAGGCUCCCUUCAGAUCUGGCAAAGUGAUGAACAGAAACCACAAUAGGGUCCAGACUCUUCAGGAGCCCUAGCACACACACACACACACACACACACACACACACACACACACACACACACACUUACUUGGAUAUAGUAUACAUCGCAGAUCCAGCUCCCCACCCCAUGCCAUUUUAUGUAUUUCUCACAGCAACUGUGAAGCAUUGGCAUCAGGAAGUAAGACUUCUUGUUGACGAUUUGGGGUUCACACUGGGCAGGUUUGGUAGCUGUCUAAAUUUCAGAGUGCAGAGUUUUAUUUCAGAUGUAGUCUUUGGGAUCAGAGAAAACUAAUUUAAAAGUGAAAUUUCACCAGGUGUAGAUGUCAGGAGCUGAUCACUGACUCCGGAGGGUACACACACAUUCAGUCCAUCUGCUGGGGUCCUUCUUUGGUUCUUCUGCCCCAUUCUGAGAUCCUAUCUCCAUGACCCUUGCCAGAGGCCUGCUCACUGUUUGAUGAGCUUGCGUGAAGCCAUGAUACACAGGCCUACAUGCCUCUGCAGUUCAUCUGGAAAAUUCUGACACUCAGGUGAUCCCAAAGGUAUGGUGUUAGAGGCAGCUGUGUGUAUUACACUAUUGCUCGGUUUUUGUUCCUCCUGUCUCCAGAUAGGCAAGGACUUGGUGAUUCUUGGGCAAGUUCUUACACAAUUACUUCUUUCUGAUGACCUGUCUAGGCAUAUGUUUUUAGAGAAUUUACUUUUAAAGCAAAGGCUCUUAAACAUUUAUUUUCUUUC
rnacentral:lncRNA from 1 species